AUGCGUGCUACAACGGCUGCGGCAAACCAUGCUACAACGGGCCAUGGAAAAGCUGGAACCGGGCGGCAGAAAAGCUGCGACCGGGGCCACAGAAGCUGCAACGGGUAUGCCGUGAUAAAGCUGGAACUGGCGUUCAUAUUUGCUGGAACCAGUGUCAAGAUUUGCUGGAACCGGCAAUCAAAUUUGCUGGAAUUGCUGUCGCGAGGGCGUCGUUUUACUGCAACCAGCCGUGGCGUUUUGCUGGAAUGA
rnacentral:rRNA from 1 species